rnacentral:rRNA from 1 species
GAUGAACGCUGGCGGCGUGCCUAAUACAUGCAAGUCGAGCGAACAGACGAGGAGCUUGCUCCUCUGACGUUAGCGGCGGACGGGUGAGUAACACGUGGAUAACCUACCUAUAAGACUGGGAUAACUUCGGGAAACCGGAGCUAAUACCGGAUAAUAUAUUGAACCGCAUGGUUCAAUAGUUAAAGACGGUUUUGCUGUCACUUAUAGAUGGAUCCGCGCCGCAUUAGCUAGUUGGUAAGGUAACGGCUUACCAAGGCUACGAGGCGUAGCCGACCUGAGAGGGUGAAUCGACAGACGGGAACUGAGACUGGUCAGCGACUCCUACGGGAGGAAGCAGUAGGGAAUCUUCCGCAAUGGGCGAAAGCCGGACAGAGCAACACCGCGUGAGUGAUGAAGGUCUUCGGAUGGUAGAGUGCUGUUGUUAGGAAAGAACAAAAGUGUAUGUACCUAUGCACGUCUUGACGGUACCUAAAGAGUAAGCUACGGCUAACUCCGUG